CUGAAUUAUUUGGAAAGCUUAUUAAAUCGAGGCCUAGAUUUGAGUUUGGUAUUCAGCAAAAUAUCAUUCAAGUACCUGUGCUUUUACAGGGCAUAUUGCAAACGAAGGACUUACAGAAAGCUGGAUAAAAUGAUGCCUAAAUAAAUGUAUUUAUAAGAUAUAUACACAUCUACAACAAUUAUAAUAUCUCUAUCUAGUUAUAUAUUUAUAUAUAGUGCUGUAAGACUUU